rnacentral:misc_RNA from 1 species
UACGUAGGGUGCGAGCGUUGUUCGGAAUCACUGGGCGUAAAGGGCGUGUAGGCGGAACGAUCAGCUAAGGGUGAAAGCCCAGGGCUCAACCCUGGAAUUGCUUUUAGAACUGUCGAUCUAGAGAGGGUCAGAGGCUAGCAGAAUUCCUGGUGUAGAGGUGAAAUUCGUAGAUAUCAGGAGGAAUACCGGUGGCGAAAGCGGCUGGCUGGGGCCACUCUGACGCUGAGGCGCGAAAGCGUGGGGAGCAAACAGG